rnacentral:rRNA from 1 species
GAUGAACGCUGGCGGCGCGCCUAACACAUGCAAGUCGAACGGCACCCACCUCCGGGUGGAAGCGAGUGGCGAACGGCUGAGUAACACGUGGAGAACCUGCCCCCUCCCCCGGGAUAGCCGCCCGAAAGGACGGGUAAUACCGGAUACCCCCGGGAGCCGCAUGGCUCCCGGGCUAAAGCCCCGACGGGAGGGGAUGGCUCCGCGGCCCAUCAGGUAGACGGCGGGGUGACGGCCCACCGUGCCGACAACGGGUAGCCGGGUUGAGAGACCGACCGGCCAGAUUGGGACUGAGACACGGCCCAGGCUCCUACGGGAGGCGGCAGUGGGGAAUCUUGCGCAAGGGGGGGAACCCUGACGCAGCGACGCCGCGUGCGGGACGGAGGCCUUCGGGUCGUAAACCGCUUUCAGCAGGGAAGAGUCAAGACUGUACCUGCAGAAGAAGCCCCGGCUAACUACGUGCCAGCCGCCGCAGUAACAC